CUUGCCCUGUACUGUACACGGCGUUUCCGCGCUCACUCUGAUCCGUAGCCAAAUAUUAAAAGAGGUUCCUGCACUACCAAGUAUUUUAACAUGUUGAAUCUUUUCGAAGGAGCAGAGAGAGACAUAACAGGCAGAGUGGGUUUUUUUUGGGAGGGGGUCAUCUAAACUUGUAUGCUUUACUACGAAAAUACCAUCUUGCCCUAGAGGGACAGUUUACUUCACGGCAUUUUGACGGUUGUGGAUUGGUGUGUCUAUAUAUAUGUGUGUGCGUGUGUGUUGGGGGAGGGGGUGAGUGCUGAAGGAGGUUAUGUCAAGAAAUAAGGCAUCCUCUGUGGAUGGGUUAAAGAAGAGUUUGUGCGACAAUUUAUCCAAUCAUUUCAGGAUCACGUUCUGGAGCAUAUACAGAAAAAUCCAUGUUAGAGCCUACUUACAGCACCGGUACUCUUAUUUGUGCGUCAGGGUAUUGCUAUAGUUCCGUGAAGUAUUGACGAUCGCCUGUAGUUUGCUGUAUUUACUUUGCGAUGUGAUUUUGAUACUUUCCGUCUAUGAUUAGGCCGCGCAGUUUUUAUCUAGGACAUAAAGAGCAAGCUCUUAACUCAGAUCAAACUUUAUUGGAAAGCUGUUGUAGCGUUUAUAUAAAUAACCGAAAUGUUUAACGGCUUCGUUUUUCAGUGUUUUGCGUUUAAAAUUUAAAUUAUGAUGAAGAUAACACCAGCUAAUUACGUGCAUUCUGUGUUGAGGCUGAACUAAAUGACUUAUGUAAGUUGCAUUUUUAGCUUUAAAAAGAAUUAGAACUGCAAUUGAGAAGUGUGUAGAAUUAUACACGUCAGGGUCCAGACUGAAUCGCAAAUGAAUUACUAAGCAGAACGUCUAUCUCAAGCAUGAAACGAGCUAAAGCUUACCCACGGGGACUGUGAUCUUGAUCAAAAUGAUGCCGCUGUUUUGGGUUUUGUUUGAUCUGCUGUGAGAAAUAACGAAGCUGCCCGGGAGAGUUACUUACAAUUAUUGUGAGUCUGUUUGAGAGCAGUUUGAUUCGAAAGCAUUUGGAGAACUGCCGGGCCUCUCACAGAGAUUCGGAAGGGUGAAAGCAAUAACAGCACCGGCGGCGGCACUGUUUGAGAGAGGAGCAGGCUGCGGAAGAUGAAUGCUCCAUCUGGGAUACAGGAUUUUAAUUAGAGUGAUUGUGCUCAGAUCGCCCUCAUUCAUUCAUCAGCUGAUCAGAAGGGGGCGCAUCAGAACGGUUUUUAAAAUAUAAAUCUAAAGUGUGACAAUUCUUGGAAGAAUGAUUUCCGGAACUCAACCAUUUGUCAGCAUGCGAAUCACUGACACGCAACAAUUUGUGGAAUUGGCUCAGGAUGUAACUCCUCCUGCAGUAUCGAGGGAGCGACUGUGCAGGAUUUGUCAUUUGGGCUGGGAACUUUGAAGUUAACUAAGAAGACAACUUUUAAUGUAUUUAUUUGCUAAAUUUCGUCUGAUUAUUUUCAAUUUAGUGUCAAAUUACCUAAUAACUAAUCAUCAAUGGGUUCUAAACUAGCAACAGUGGAACUGAAAUAUUAAUGUUUAAAACAAAUUGGAAUGAAGCAAGUUUCCAUUUUAAAAUGGAGAUUACUAUAAGUCUCAUCAAAGGAUUGUAGUGUGCCCUGAUACAAUUGCAAAAUAGCUUACUGUUUUGUGCCUGUACAUUUUAGUUUUGUGUA